GGAAGCAGUGCUUUCUCCUCUAGCCUCUCAAAAUUGCUUUUCAACGCUGCGAGGCUGGAAUUGCAGCAAACAUAUUGCUACCAGCUUCAUGAUUUAGCCAACACACUGAGGAGGAAAAAUGGAUAAAGCCAUCCUUUGAAACCUGGCCUACUUCUGGAUUUUCAGUUAUGUGAUACACACAUGGCUGGCUUCCUCACUUCACUAGACCUGCUUGGCGAGUCCUUGGCUGACCACCUCUUCACUGGAGCUCUCCUCAGACAGACUCAUCCUUUACCUGCUCGGUCAUCCAUCACAGCAUCUGACAACAUAAGCUGCACUGUUGAUGGAAAAAGAAGGAAGUCUCCAGAAGAAGACCACAGAGCUUCCUUCUCAGCUUCUAAAGCUUUUGGAAAUUGAUUUUGCAUGCCUUUGUAUGAAACAUGUAGGAUUUCUAACAGAAUCUUUCAGACUGGCCUGUAAUGCAAGGGGAAACAGCUCCAGUGAAAGGAGAAUUCUAAGUGAUGAAUACAGAAAUUAGAUGAAGCUUCAAUCCUUGGAGCACAGACUUAUACAAGAAUAUAAACAUAAAUACAGUUUUUAUAAGCAAAGGAGAAGCAGUUUUCAUCUAUAGUGAAGGAACAGAAAGAUCCAGAAAACAAUAAACAAAGUUAUGCUAAAAAAUUUUUUCUGGCCUCCAAGAUACAGUUUUGCUACGUGACUACUUUGGCGCUUCAUGAGCCUGAGCCAUGUGGAGAGAAAACAUCAGUUGUUAAAUGCUGGAACUUAGUCCACAAAGGCUGGAAAUGCAGAUGAGAGACGUGUGCUCUGGACAACAGCAAAGCCUCUUCAGUUCCACAGCUCAAGCAAAACUGUGCUCAGAUGAAUAUCAGCUACCAAGAUUAAGUCACUGUUCAUGGUUCAUUUUAUCAGUUUUAGCAGAUGCAAAGUAUUACAUUCUUUAAAAAAAAAAUCAAAGCCAUCUUUUAUCUUUUACCGAAGUCAAAGGCAUCUUUUAACACCCUAUGAACUUCAAAAAGUGAAGUUUGAACUUAAGCUAGUUGAGUGUUUAGUUUUAGUUCUCAUUCUUUGGAUCCUAUUCAUUAAGCCCUAUUUAUAAAUUUAAAGAAUCAGGAUAGCAAAACUCCUGAAAAAUGUGCUUUUAAAAGAAAUGUGUCCCACCACCACCAUACCCACUGCCACACCACCACCACAAAAAGAAAGAAACGUUUAAAAAACAAGUGUUGAAGCUUUUUCGUGCAUUGUCUUAAAAGUUGUAUAGUGGAUGUGCUCAAAUUAAAUGUAUGGAUUGAUCGCCUUUUCAGAAACUGAAAAAUCAAAAUUCUUAUACAUCCUUUACUUGAAGUUUUAAAAAUUUUCUCUUUUCCAUUAUUCACGUCUAGUUUGAAUCCUAUUGUUUCAAUUUCCAGACUUGUUCUUUCAAACAGCUGGUUAAGCAUGACAUAUUAACAACACUUGUGAAUAUCCCCAAGCCCGACUAAAAAGACAGCGCAAGUAUACAGAAGGUAUAGUCAGAAAGGACAAGAAAAAGGGGAGGAGUCAAGCAUAUAGGAAACAUUUCAAAAAAUAUUGUGGCAGACAGGAAGCAAGUUGGGGGAGGGGCACUUGAUUCAAUCCACGUAGUUAAGUAAUGACCCAAGUUUCCCUAAAGGUGGGGAGGAGGACAUAUACUGAGGGGAUGCCAUCCCAAUAACCCUGAAGAACCCAUGAGACCCUAGGAUCCCGGGACCCACAAAAGUGAACUUGAGAUUCAGGGCAGAAAAAAGGGGAUUGGUCAAAAGCCAGCAGAGAAAGCAUUAGAGCCCUGGUUGCCUUAUUCUUUCUCAACCACCUCUGCCCACCACCAACUCCUCUGUCUUUAAAAGAAAAAGAGUGGAGAGAAUCUUGAGGAAACAGAGGCUAUGCAAGGUAUGAGACAGAAAAUCAAGUAUUCUAACUACUGAAUAAUAUUUUUAUGAUAUAUAGAUUUGGAAAAUAAUUUCCAUAAAAAUUGAAAGUGAGAAUAUUGCAAUCAGUUCAAGUAUUUGGUAUGCUUAUUUCAUAAUCGUGAGAGUUGUAGGGCUGUUUAAGGCACACAGCAAGUCUGUAAUACAUCAGACCCAUUGCACAGAUGAGAAAAUUAAGCCUUACAGAGAUUAAGCAAUUUACCCAAAAUCAAACAGCUAUUAGGUAGUGGUCCUAGUACUCAGACUCAGUGCUGUUGAUUACAAGCCUAAUGUUCUUACAACUACUCCAAAAUGCUUCAGAAAGUUUUGGUUUACAAUGACUCUGAACAAAGAGAAGAUUCUUCAGGAUAAAGAAAGAUGUGUAAUGGAAUAUUCCCUGCAAUUUUAGAACUUCUAAUUACUUCAUUGUUUAAUUAGAUUGAUGAAUUUGAAAUGUAAAG